AUGGCAUCCCCCGCAAGGCUCUUCAAGUUGAACAAGGAGUUGGUUCCUAACCAAAAGGGUGUCAUCAUUGCAACAGAAUUUGGAGGCAUUCUGGACCUUGAAGCAAGUAGCAUGCCUGGAGAUCUUAGCCAAUGGAUAAUGAAGCAUUAUGACCCUGAGAUUUCACAGAUAGUCAUUCCAGAAAGGGGGAAGAUUCUUGUAGAUGCCGCAAGUGUCCGUAGGAUAUGGGGCUUGCCAAAUAGGGGGAGGAAGGCGUGCUUUGAUAAUCAGCCUGAAAUCACAAAGGCAAUGUACAAUACUUACAAUAUCACCUCCAAGAACUCCUCAACUCUCACAGCAUGGUGCAAGAUGAUCAAAGAUAUCGGAGGAUCUUAUGAUGAUGACUUUGUCCGUGCUUGGCUAGUUCUUGUUUUUUCGUGCUUCCUUGCCCCUUCCACUAGUUUAAGUAUUUCCCCGAAAAACUUCCUGGCGGUCAUGGAUGUCAAUGGAAUAAUGGAAACCAAUAUAUGCCAGUUUGUUGUUGAUCAACUAAAGCUUGCAUUCACUUUGGGUUGUGGCAACAAGAAGGCUAUUUGUUGUUAUGUUUUCUACCUUGUUCAGUUGUAUCUAUACUCAUUGGAUGUUGGUGAGCCAAUCCCUAACUUGGUACCAAGGGUUUCAGUUUGGAAUUCAGAUUUAAUUGCCAAAGUAAUUAAGAAGGACCGGGAGGCUUCGGGAGAAUACGGCAAUUUGCGGCUUAAGAUGGAGUUUUCUCGGUGUGUGGAUGAUAGCUUGUUUGGCAGUAUGGACCACAUCACCAAAUUUGUUGCCACAAGAUUGCCCGAGUCUUACGACAAAAUAAAGCAAAAGAAGCUCAUAGGGUUGGUGCACAAAAUGUGUUUCGUAAUUUCACAUGCAGUGGGGAAGCUCGUGACUAGGAUUGGGAGGAUUGAUGAUGAUUAA
rnacentral:rRNA from 1 species